AUUGAACGCUGGCGGCAUGCCUUACACAUGCAAGUCGAACGGCAGCACGGGUGCUUGCACCUGGUGGCGAGUGGCGAACGGGUGAGUAAUAUAUCGGAACGUACCUUAUCGUGGGGGAUAACGCAGCGAAAGCUGCGCUAAUACCGCAUACGCCCUGAGGGGGAAAGCGGGGGACCGUAAGGCCUCGCGCGAUUAGAGCGGCCGAUAUCUGAUUAGCUUGUUGGUGGGGUAAAAGCCUACCAAGGCGACGAUCAGUAGCUGGUCUGAGAGGACGAUCAGCCACACUGGGACUGAGACACGGCCCAGACUCCUACGGGAGGCAGCAGUGGGGAAUUUUGGACAAUGGGGGCAACCCUGAUCCAGCAAUGCCGCGUGAGUGAAGAAGGCCUUCGGGUUGUAAAGCUCUUUUGUCAGGGAAGAAACAGCAGCUCUAACACA
rnacentral:rRNA from 1 species